UCGAGAAUCUUCCACAAUGGACGAAAGUCUGAUGGAGCGACGCCGCGUGAUUGAUGAAGUCCUUUGGGACGUAAAGAUCUUUUAUGAGGGAAGAAGUUUAUUGACGGUACCUCAUGAAUAAGGGGCUCCUAAUCUCGUGCCAGCAGGAGCGGUAAUACGAGAGCCCCGAGCGUUAUCCGGAAUUAUUGGGCGUAAAGGGUGCGUAGGUGGCAUUGUUAGUCUCCCGUUAAAUCUCCGAGCUUAACUUGGA
rnacentral:rRNA from 1 species